AUCCAACUUUCCCUGGGGAUCAGGUCUCUGCUUCUGGAGCCCUCCAGACUUAGAGAUUGUAAUCAAGAGCCCAUGCUUGUCAAACUUUUAUGUGGGU
rnacentral:miRNA from 1 species